rnacentral:rRNA from 1 species
UGAGGAAUAUUGGUCAAUGGGCGGAAGCCUGAACCAGCCAAGUCGCGUGAGGGAAGACGGUCCUAUGGAUUGUAAACCUCUUUUGCCGGGGAGCAAUGCCACUCUUGCGAGAGUGGAGGGAGAGUACCCGGAGAAAAAGCAUCGGCUAACUCCGUGCCAGCAGCCGCGGUAAUACGGAGGAUGCGAGCGUUAUCCGGAUUUAUUGGGUUUAAAGGGUGCGUAGGCGGGCUGUUAAGUCAGCGGUCAAAUGUCGGUGCUCAACGCCGGCCUGCCGUUGAAACUGGCGGUCUUGAGUGAGCGAGAAGUAUGCGGAAUGCGUGGUGUAGCGGUGAAAUGCAUAGAUAUCACGCAGAACUCCGAUUGCGAAGGCAGCAUACCGGCGCUCAACUGACGCUGAGGCACGAAAGCGUGGGGAUCGAACAGG